rnacentral:rRNA from 1 species
GACGAACGCUGGCGGCGUGCUUAACACAUGCAAGUCGAACGGAAAGGCCCUGCUUUUGUGGGGUGCUCGAGUGGCGAACGGGUGAGUAACACGUGAGUAACCUGCCCUUGACUUUGGGAUAACUUCAGGAAACUGGGGCUAAUACCGGAUAGGAGCUCCUGCUGCAUGGUGGGGGUUGGAAAGUUUCGGCGGUUGGGGAUGGACUCGCGGCUUAUCAGCUUGUUGGUGGGGUAGUGGCUUACCAAGGCUUUGACGGGUAGCCGGCCUGAGAGGGUGACCGGGCACAUUGGGACUGAGAUACGGCCCAGACUCCUACGGGAGGCAACAGUGGGGAAUAUUGCACAAUGGGCUGAAGCCUGAUGCAGCAACGCCGCGUGCGGGAUGACGGCCUUCGGGUUGUAAACCGCUUUCGCCUGUGACGAAGCGUGAGUGACGGUAAUGGGUAAAGAAGCACCGGCUAACUACGUG